AUUGAACGCUGGCGGCAGGCUUAACACAUGCAAGUCGAGCGAGCGGCGGACGGGUGAGUAAUGUCUGGGAAACUGCCUGAUGGAGGGGGAUAACUACUGGAAACGGUAGCUAAUACCGCAUACCAUCGGAUGUGCCCAGAUGGGAUUAGCUAGUUGGUGGGGUAAAGGCUCACCUAGGCGACGAUCCCUAGCUGGUCUGAGAGGAUGACCAUCCACACUGGAACUGAGACACGGUCCAGACUCCUACGGUAGGCAGCAGUGGGGAAUGUUGCACAAUUGGCGCAAGCCUGAUCCAGCCAUGCCGCGUGUGUGAAGAAGGCCUUCGGGUUGUAAAGCCCUUUCGUUGGGAAAGCGUUACCCACAGAAUAAGCACCGGCUAACUCCGUGCCAGCAGCCGCGGUAAUAC
rnacentral:rRNA from 1 species